GACGAACGCUGGCGGCGUGCCUAACACAUGCAAGUCGAACGGAAAGGCCCUGCUUUUGUGGGGUGCUCGAGUGGCGAACGGGUGAGUAACACGUGAGUAACCUGCCCUUGACUUUGGGAUAACUUCAGGAAACUGGGGCUAAUACCGGAUAGGAGCUCCUGCUGCAUGGUGGGGGUUGGAAAGUUUCGGCGGUUGGGGAUGGACUCGCGGCUUAUCAGCUUGUUGGUGGGGUAGUGGCUUACCAAGGCUUUGACGGGUAGCCGGCCUGAGAGGGUGACCGGCCACAUUACGACUGAGAUACGGCACAGACUCCUACGGGAGGCAGCAGUGGGGAAUAUUGCACAAUGGGCGGAAGCCUGAUGCAGCAACGCCGCGUGCGGGAUGACGGCCUUCGGGUUGUAAACCGCUUUCGCCUGUGACGAAGCGUGAGUGACGGUAAUGGGUAAAGAAGCACCGGCUAACUACGUG
rnacentral:rRNA from 1 species